GACGAACGCUGGCGGCGUGCCUAAUACAUGCAAGUAGAACGCUGAAGGAGGAGCUUGCUUCUCUGGAUGAGUUGCGAACGGGUGAGUAACGCGUAGGUAACCUGCCCGGUAGCGGGGGAUAACUAUUGGAAACGAUAGCUAAUACCGCAUAAUAGCAGUUAUUGCAUGAUAACUGUUUGAAAGGUGCAAUUGUUCCACUACCAGUUGGACCUGCGUUGGAUUGGUUAGUUGGUGGGGUAACGGCUCACCAAGGCGACGAUACAUAGCCGACCGGCGAGGGGGGUAGGCCACCCUGGGACGGGAGCACGGCCCAGGAUCCUACGGGAGGCAGCAAGAGGGAAUCUUCGGCAAUUGACGGAAGUCUGACCGAGCCACGCCGCGUGAGGGAAGAAGGAUGUCGGAUCGGAAAGCUCGGUUGUAAGGGAAGAACGAGUGUGAGAGUGGAAAGUUCACACUGUGACGGUAUCUUAACAGAAAGGGACGGCUAACUACGUG
rnacentral:rRNA from 1 species